UACGAAGGGGGCUAGCGUUGCUCGGAAUCACUGGGCGUAAAGCGCACGUAGGCGGAUUGUUAAGUCAGGGGUGAAAUCCUGGAGCUCAACUCCAGAACUGCCUUUGAUACUGGCGAUCUCGAGUCCGGGAGAGGUGAGUGGAACUGCGAUUGUAGAGGUGAAAUUCGUAGAUAUUCGCAAGAACACCAGUGGCGAAGGCGGCUCACUGGCCCGGUACUGACGCUGAGGUGCGAAAGCGUGGGGAGCAAACAGG
rnacentral:rRNA from 1 species